rnacentral:rRNA from 1 species
GGGGAAUAUUGCACAAUGGGCGCAAGCCUGAUGCAGCCAUGCCGCGUGUAUGAAGAAGGCCUUCGGGUUGUAAAGCUCUGUCCUCAAGGAAGAUAAUGACGGUACUUGAGGAGGAAGCCCCGGCUAACUACGUGCCAGCAGCCGCGGUAAUACGGAGGGUGCAAGCGUUAAUCGGAAUUACUGGGCGUAAAGCGCACGCAGGCGGUUUGUUAAGUCAGAUGUGAAAUCCCCGGGCUCAACCUGGGAACUGCAUCUGAUACUGGCAAGCUUGAGUCUCGUAGAGGGGGGCAGAAUUCCAGGUGUAGCGGUGAAAUGCGUAGAGAUCUGGAGGAAUACCGGUGGCGAAGGCGGCCCCCUGGACGAAGACUGACGCUCAGGUGCGAAAGCGUGGGGAGCAAACAGG